rnacentral:rRNA from 1 species
GAUGAACGCUAGCUACCGGUUUAACACAUGCAAGUCGAGGGGCAUCAGGAAGAAAGCUUGCUUUCUUUGCUGGCGACCGGCGCACGGGUGAGUAACACGUAUCCAACCUGCCCUUUACUCGGGGAUAGCCUUUCGAAAGAAAGAUUAAUACCCGAUGGCAUAAUGAUUCCGCAUGGUUUCAUUAUUAAAGGAUUCCGGUAAAGGAUGGGGAUGCGUUCCAUUAGGUUGUUGGUGAGGUAACGGCUCACCAAGCCUUCGAUGGAUAGGGGUUCUGAGAGGAAGGUCCCCCACAUUGGAACUGAGACACGGUCCAAACUCCUACGGGAGGCAGCAGUGAGGAAUAUUGGUCAAUGGGCGCUAGCCUGAACCAGCCAAGUAGCGUGAAGGAUGAAGGCUCUAUGGGUCGUAAACUUCUUUUAUAUAAGAAUAAAGUGCAGUAUGUAUACUGUUUUGUAUGUAUUAUAUGAAUAAGGAUCGGCUAACUCCGUGCCAGCAGCCGCGGUAAUACGGAGGAUCCGAGCGUUAUCCGGAUUUAUUGGGUUUAAAGGGAGCGUAGGUGGACUGGUAAGUCAGUUGUGAAAGUUUGCGGCUCAACCGUAAAAUUGCAGUUGAUACUGUCAGUCUUGAGUACAGUAGAGGUGGGCGGAAUUCGUGGUGUAGCGGUGAAAUGCUUAGAUAUCACGAAGAACUCCGAUUGCGAAGGCAGCUCACUGGACUGCAACUGACACUGAUGCUCGAAAGUGUGGGUAGCAAACAGG